AAGUCGUAACAAGGUUUCCGUAGGUGAACCUGCGGAAGGAUCAUUAGCGAAGCUCGGAAUGCCAGUCCGGCACUGCAGCUGCCCAGCGAUGGGAUGUGCUCGUCUGGGCUGGUGUCCCUUCUCUAUUCCACCCCACUGUGAACCAAGCGUGCGAGCGGAAGAGAGAUCGGAAGCUCGCAUGCUCACUUUAACAUACCCCCGAUUAAGUAUCUGAAUGUACCUUGCGUUAACUCGCACAAAUACAACUUUCAACAACGGAUCUCUUGGCUCUC
rnacentral:misc_RNA from 1 species